ACAUAACCAUCAACAAUUCGGUUCACUUACUACCUUAAUUUGCAAGCUCUGAUUUUGACUAGCCAUUUCUUCCUCACUUCAAAUUUUAUUUUAUCAAAUUUUGCACAAUAAUUGAAGCUCUUCAAGUCAGCUUUCCAACUCCACCUUCCGAUUGUUAAAUGCCUUUCUACAACACUUUAUAUGCUUAAAAGAAUGACAGUAGGUACAAAUUUCACAUCUAGACUUUAAACAGCCAUAACUCUCUCAUUGCAGACUCAAAGUUAACAAUCCAUGCAUAGAAAUUGUAUUCCUUCAAACCAGCUUUCCAAUGACACUUUUUUUUUUUUUUUUUUCCAGAAAACCUUCUACAACUUUCUAUAUGCUUAAAAGAGUAACAGUCGGUAAACAAUUCACACCCUAACUUCAAACAAUCUUAA
rnacentral:lncRNA from 1 species